ensembl:lincRNA Gm3716 predicted gene 3716
CUUGCACGGUACGGAUCACUGUAGCGUCUUCAUGAACAAGAAGGCUCUUGCUUUGCAGUUCUCAGCUCCCAGUAUCUUGAGCUAAAUAAAGCUUUGCUCAUCCAAAACUACCAACCCUGGGAGCUGGGGAGAUGGUGCAGUUGCCCUCGCUAACCUGAGUGAUUCUGAAACUACACAAGCUGCAUUUGGGAGAAGGAGAAGUGUCUGGGAAGGGGCCCCGAAGAGAGGAAGAAGAACAGACGGAGACCAGGGGGAACUGGGAAGGAGCAAGUGCGGAGGCGAUCCUGAAGCUGCUGAGGAAGGAAGAUGGGAUUUGAUUUAAAAGAAAAAAAAAAGGCCCACAAGAAUCCACAAGGCCACAUGCUGUGCUCCUGAUCAGAUGUCCCAUGGGAGUCUUUCCUCUCUCAGGCAGGAUCAGUGAGCUCGCCUCAAGCUCUUUUGCUGCAGAAAUGCACGGAAAAUAUGAGAGGAUCCUGAAAGAAUUCUCUGGCAGAGAGCACAUCUUGUUUUCGGCCGGCAUUUGUUCGUCGUCGUCGUCGUCACUACCUACAUUCCCCCGCCGUGUUCACAUAUGAAAACAAUUAUUUCUCAGUUCAGGAAGUCGGUUUUAAUCGUUAGUUUGGCUUCAAAGGAUCCAGCACCCUUUACAAGGUCAGACUAGCUCCAAAGACAGCUAGGCAGAAACUCUGGCCUGGGAGUAAGCUGAGCUUUCCUGGUAGGCAACUGCUUAGAACUUGUGCUUGAGUCCUGGAAAUGAGGAAGAUGUCCUAUCUGAGGUGGAAGGGAAGAGUUCAUCCCUGAGUGCUGGAGAGACGGUCUCAGAGAAACAACUUCCCUCGGUCUCACCUGCACUCGGUAUUCAACAAGUUCCACUGGAGAGACUCGAGCCCCACACAGGGGUCAGGGCCCUGAUUUCUUGCCCCAGAUGUGUGACCCUAGGCAAAUCCAUCAGAAUCUAGGAAUUUCUAUUUACUCAGGUGUAUGUAGGGUUUCAACCAGUCCUUCUGCUAAGCAUAAAUACCUUCUGUUUUCCUUAUUGGCUCUGCACCAUGACAACUGUAAAUUAAUCUUUAUCUUCAGACAGCAAUAGAAUUAGACGCAAUAUGAGCAUUUUGCUUUGAUGGAUAUAACAGAAAGCCUUCACAUCUGUGCACGUGGUAGGGGUUAAUAUAAUGGAGAGCCCUACACACCAGGGUCUUUCAGAUUAUAGUGGGCAAAAGAAUCAGCUCAUUGAAAAUGCAUUGAGAGAUUGGCCCUGAGAAUCAGCGCAGACAGCUGCACCAUGUGGGUCAGGUCUGGAGGGGAUACUUACAGACAUCUGAGCCUUGGCUGGGCACCCAGGCUGUCCCCGCACAGCUGGGCCUGCUCUUCCUACCCAACUUAAGAGAUUUUGCUGCUGCUUCUAACAGUUAGGAAACCAGCUUGGAAGGCUUGACUCUGCAAGGGAGGGGCCACCUGGCCCAGGUUAACAGCCAGCUAGAGUGCUAAAGAGGGAAAUAAAAAUUAAGAACAUA